GGGGAUAUAGCUCAGUGGGUAGAGUGCUUGCCUUGCAUGCAUAAGGCCCUGGGUUCAAUCCCCAGCACCA
rnacentral:tRNA from 1 species